CCUCUCUCUCCACUGCCUCCAUCUGCUUCUCCACUGUCUCCAUCUGCUUCUCCACUGUCUCCAUCUGCUUGUCCUCGUCCUCCUUCUCUUCAAGCCUCUGGUCAUAUUCCACAUUUUCAGCUUCCUUCAGCUCUUCAUUGACCAAUUUGCUUCCAGCAACCUUCCCUUGGUUUGUUUGGGGACGGGGAACAAGGUUGCUUUGAGGAAAUGGGUGACAGGGUUUCAUUCUUUUCUGCGAGUUCCUCUGAGUGAUGAACCUGAAACACAACCAGGGUUUUCCAGCUGCAUAGCAGACCUGGACGUGAAGGCAAGAGAGAGCCUGCCUGCAACUUCUAACUACCAUGACUGGAAGGCAUUUAGCCCUACCCUCAUUAAACUAAAUUUAAAGGAGAUAGAUUUGUUCUACAUGUCUAUACAUUUGCUGUUUGAUAAAACAAAUCUGCAAAAGACAA